rnacentral:rRNA from 1 species
GACGAACGCUGGCGGCGUGCCUAAUACAUGCAAGUAGAACGCUGAAGAGAGGAGCUUGCUCUUCUUGAAUGAGUUGCGAACGGGUGAGUAACGCGUAGGUAACCUGCCUUGUAGCGGGGGAUAACUAUUGGAAACGAUAGCUAAUACCGCAUAACAAUGGGUGACACAUGUCAUUUAUUUGAAAGGGGCAAUUGCUCCACUACAAGAUGGACCUGCGUUGUAUUAGCUAGUAGGUGAGGUAACGGCUCACCUAGGCGACGAUACAUAGCCGACCUGAGAGGGUGAUCGGCCACACUGGGACUGAGACACGGCCCAGACUCCUACGGGAGGCAGCAGUAGGGAAUCUUCGGCAAUGGGGGCAACCCUGACCGAGCAACGCCGCGUGAGUGAAGAAGGUUUUCGGAUCGUAAAGCUCUGUUGUAAGUCAAGAACGAGUGU